rnacentral:lncRNA from 1 species
UCUCCAACAAAAAACUUAUCUAUAUUUACUAAAUUUUCUUAUAUAAAUGAAAAAAAGACAAAAUCACAUUCAAAACCACUCGAAACAAGAUUAGGGCAAGAAAUAAUUUCAAUGGUUUUGAGAGUUUAGGGGAUAAGAUGUCUCGUUUUUAGAGUUUGAAGAAAAAAAAGAGAUACAUCAAUAGCUUUUUUCCUUUGCCUAGCUUGAUGUUGAACCUUUGCUAGAGGUGGGCCUACGUU